CCCGUCAUUUUUGGCUACUCAGUUAUCAAUGUCUUGUGUCUUUCAGGUGCGGCAAGCACUCCCGACGCUGAUUGAUGACGUCAGUGUUUCUCGCCAUCUCAUCGUCUUCAUGAGAAACUGUUGCAGGCAAUUUUGUUUCCAGAAGUGCCAGAGACUCCAUGAAGUUCACUAGAGACUUUGCUGUUUCAGGUGGAAGGUGCUCAGAUACCGCCAUGAUGUCUUGCAAUGUGAAAGCUUUGAGAGAAAAACUCAUCUCCCACUCAAUCAAGAGAUGCAGAAAAAGAAAAUGACUUACCUUGUAGAGGGAACCUACACUUCUCAGUUGUAC